UCCCCGGACCGUUUAAUUCUCCCACUUUCCAAGGAGUGAGGAUUCGGAUAGAAAUUAAAUCCUGAUAAAAAUAAACAAGUUCAUGCUCCUGCAAUUUGCAGGAAGGGAAUACGGAGAUUAUUCCCACAUGGGUGGUGGGUGGAUGCUGAGGGGGCCAAAAAAAAAAGUCCAACAGAAAAAAUCCUUGCUUCCACAGCAAAAGGAAGGAAAAACUAACUGUGCGGAGGAACCAUCUGAGCUCGGCUUCUUCAACAUACGCCCAAGCGAUCGGCAAAUGCUGUAUGCACGAUGCCACUUUCGCUCCAGUGUUUUCCA
rnacentral:sRNA from 1 species